AUGGAGCUCACCGCUCACACUCUCCUCCUCCCUCUGGUACUUGCGGCGCUCCUCCACACCACCACCGCCACUGUUGACGAUGCCACACGAGGCCUCAACGGCGGCCUUAGCCUGCGCAUGGUUCCCAGCCCUGGCUGGAACAGUACCAUCCAUGUCGACGACGACGGCUUCCUUCACCUGAAGGAGCCAGUUGGGCACGACACCACCGCGCUUCGACCGCAUGUACGCUUUCUCCCAGGGAAGUACAACGUUGUCACCACUGUUGGGACGGGCCAUGGCCGCCGCACGUACACCCUCGCGAUGGAGAUGACCAGCAGCCUGACGUGGAUGCAGUGCGCGCCGAUCCAACACCCGUUUCAGCAAGUGCCGCCGCCCUUCCACCCGCGGACAUCACCGUCAUUCCGCCACCUCGCACCCACAAACCGCCUUUGCUCGCCCCCGGGGCACAACGUGUGCAGGUUCCACGUCACCCCCAUCCACACCGGUGGCGUACAUGCGAGCGGCGUGCUCGGUGAUGAGACCCUAUCCUUCACGGGAUCUACGCCGGCGGUCUUUCCCACCGUCAUCAUUGGCUGCGCGCACAGCAGCACGGGUUUCGACAGCCACAGAGUGCUCGCCGGUGUCCUCGGCCUGGGUAAGACGUACCCGUCGCUCGUCCCGGUGUUACUCCAACGUCACGGCUUGCACCGCUUCUCCUACUGCCUCUUCGUGCCCAGGUCGGCGAACCGGCACGGCUUCCUCCGGUUCGGCAACGACAUCCCGGUCGACACGAGGCGCAUGAAGAGCACCAGGAUCCUCUACCCCGAGGAUAGCUCCUACUUUGUCAACCUCAACGGCAUCAGCAUUGCAGAGACACGGCUGGGCGGCAACCUGGCGGAGGUGUUCAGGCGCCGACAGCUCGCCGAUGGCAAGUGGCACAGCGGGACCGUGAUCGACGUCGGGACGUCUCGGAGUGUGAUGAUCGAAGCUGCAUACAGUGUCCUGGAGCAGACCCUGGCGGAGCACGGCAGGAGGCUUUUGCCGGUGCGCCGCACCAGCUCCGGCCUCUGCUUCCGCGCGACACACUCCCACUUCUCGCAGUUGCCGACGGUGACGCUGCACUUUGAGCAGGACCUCGUGCUCACCCCAAAUAAGUUGUUUGUAGUGCGGGAGCAAGACAUUUGCCUCGCCGUGUCACCGAGCCAGGACAUCACCAUCAUCGGGGCAAUGCAGCAAGUGGGCACGCGCUUCGUGUACGACCUCGCCGCCAGCAGGGUCUACUUCGCCCCCGAGAACUGCAAUGACGACACCGGCGAGCAUGAUUGA
rnacentral:rRNA from 1 species